AGUGCGGAACGAAGUGGCCGAGGCGACGAGUGUGUGCCUCUAGCCGAGUGCAAAGUACUCGGUGGUGACGAUUUUUGUGUGUGCGACGAGUGUGCUGCUUCGUUUCUGCGCCUUCGAAGAGAAGACGAAUAAUAUAAUUUUUGGCGCGCGACAUACGUCAAGGCGCCAAUAUAUGUUGUAGAAUAAACAAGCAAAAGCACGAAAUAUACUUUGGGGCGCUAGACAGAAAUAUACUUAGUAUCAAAUGAUAAGUUUUGUGUGUUUGUGUAUAUAUAUAUACAUAUAUGAGUUAAGUUGAUUUUUUCCCUUCUGCCACGAAAUGAUGAGUUGGACCUUUUCGCCGUCAUUGGUCGUCACCACGGUCGCCGCCGACAGCGAAAAUGCGCGUGUGGUCGCUUGUUGACACUGACAUGCAGUGACAGUUAACAUUUGUUUGAAAAGGCAGCAAAACGGAAAGAAACAAACAGCAAAAAGUGACAACACAAAAGCACUUGAAACAAAUGUGGCAACAGCAACAGCAAAAACAAAAAGAAACAACAACGCGCACACGCACACUCAACGCCUCGAGGCAUUAAAACAAUAGCGUGCUACGUGUUUGUGUGUGUGUGUGUGUGUGUGUGUGCGUCCGACAGUGAAGUGAGCAAACGCAUGUGUAAAUUGUUAUUGCAUAUGUUUAGGCGCAUAGCCCCGUGAGACGUUUAACAUAAUGCGAACGUGUUAGCACCAGUCUACUGCUUGCCCACACAAGCUGACUCAGCACAAGUGUGUACGUGUGCAAAUACGUAUGUGUUUGUGCGGUUGGCACAAAAGCACAAAAUAAUUAUAAAAACAAAUACAACAAGACAAUGCGUACUGACUGACAUUUUCAAGUGUGUUGUCCAGAGGCAAUUGACGUAGGCCGCAGCGGUGUCAGCUAUUUGUUGGCCCAGCACCACUACAUGCAUAAGUGGCAGUGUCGUUUUAAAUGCGUUCGACGCGUUGGGCUUCACCUUUAUUGUGCUGUCAUAACAUAAUUUUAGGCGUUUCGCAUAAAGUACCCUUGCCGUGCGUUACAGCUGCAGCAGGUUGAAGAGCUGUUAUGAAAUGCGCGGCACUAAAUGGCGCAUACAAGUGUGGGUAAUGUUAUGCACCAUGCAUACGCAUAACAUAUGAGCAAUUAAGGAGGAAAUUGAGUGAAGGUUAUUAUGUAAAAGUUCAUUCCAUCCACCGUGAACUUUUAAUAUGAAACAUAGCUUGCCAGAAAAUUUAUAUUGACCGAAUAAAUAAAAAUAUAUAAAUAAAUAAGUGUAACGUCGCCGGUAAGGAAGUUGGACGUGGAUACAUUUUGAAACGCUAGUUUUAGUUAAACCGAAUCGUUACCGUUCCCACGACAGUCGGGUCUACAUAACUGAAACGGAUUUUGCAUCUGGUCAAGGACUGUCAACUCGAUAGAAUUUUGCCGCUACAACAACAGCAAUAACGAAGGAACAGUUAAUUCCUAAUUCCUUCUUCUCACAGUUGAGUUAUAUUAAGGACAGCUGACAAGCUUUUAAAAAGUGUUUUUAUGGUAGCAAUAUUUUAAGAAAAAAAUACUAAUUUAAAAAAGAUGAACAAAAGUAAAUCUAUGGCGCCGCCCUCAAAUUAAUCCUCCUUAUGUUAACGUUUUUACCAAACCUCGCAACAGUCAAUUACCGCAAUAGUCUUCGAUACGCAUAGUGAUUCCAGUGUACUGGCUUCAAUUUUCGUUUCGCCACAGCGGUCGUUUGCGUUUGCUAAAUAGGCUGCAGUCACACGGAGCGAAUACGGUGGUUGCGGAACGAUUUGAAUGAAAAUUUAGAGAAAAACUUAAGAAGGAUCAAUGAAAUUCAUAAAAUCGCGGCGGUGCAUUUUCGUGGUGCAAAGGCUAACAGUUUUCCGCCCAUAAUUCUGGCAUACUUUUACGUAUUUCUUCGCGAAAAUAACGUAUAACUCUCAAAAAGUAUUCCUUGUUGACAGUUUGGCCGGUCAGACGCAAUUCGGAGAGCACCACACAUCGAUAGUUGAAGAAAACUGUCAACAUAACCUUGAUUUUUGACGUGCUUUGAAGUGAUUUUUUCGUUUUCGGAUUACCUUUGCCACGAUAUUCGGCCCAUUGAUCGUCUGUUUCCAGGUCGUAAGAAUAGAUACAAGACACAUCGUCAGUAAUAAUACAUUUCAGGAUAUCCUGGUAGUCCGAAAGCAUUUUUUCGCAGACCUUAAUGUGACGAUAUUUUUUCGAAAAAUUGACACCAAUCCCUUUAUUUUAUUGACGUCUUAAUCAUCAAUUAAUGUUGUUAGGCGUCUUGGACGCGUUCUUGAUCCUCUUUGAAUAAUUUUUUUUUGUUCGCGACAAAAAAUUAUUGAAGGCCGUUGCCAACAUUCUGAACGUUUUGGCAACAGAAAUGUGAUUCCGCACACUAAAUUUAAUGGAACUUCUUUGUUGAAUAGUUUCACUCAUCGUAAAAAUCGCCAAAUGCAGUUUAUGUAGUUGAGACAAGCAUAACCUAACAAUUAUGAUUAUUUUGAUGUUACAUUUGGCACCGGUAUCAGUGACAGUCAUACCAACCUAAAAAAGAAACUGUUUCGACAACAAGGUUUACGCGCAAAAUUUAAAUUAAAAAGUCUUACUAUUUUUUGCCCACAAUAGUAUAUUACAGAAAAAUCUUAUAUACUCUAAGGCGAAAUAAAUAUUAUUAUAGUUGAGAAAAAUUCAGAAUACAUUCAGCAAUAAAUAAAAAUCUUGCAAAAACAGCAAAAGUUAAUUUUACAAAAUUAUAAAAUUUUAUUAAACUUAUAACUCUAACACGGAGAGAAAAUUUGGACAACGAAAUAUUGGUCAGUCAAAAAAGUCUUGCGGUACUUUCGCUAGUUGGCGCUGAAAGCGCGUAGUUCCAGUUUUAUUCGUCGCAUCGUGUCAUGCUAUACCUUUUCGGAAAGCUUAUUUCACGCGCUAACAAGUGUUUGAUUGAUUGUCGUUUCUUUUAAGUCGUUCGUGAGUUAUAGCGUCGCAAACAUGGAGCAAAAUAAAGAGAAAAUACGGCAUAUUUUACAGUACUAUUACGAUAAAGGCAAAAAUGCAUCUCAAGCCGCCAAUAAAAUUUGUGCAGUUUAUGGACCCGAUACAGUUUCCAUUUCCACCGCACAACGAUGGUUUCAACGUUUUCGUUCUGGUGUAGAGGUGGUCGAAGAUGCGCAACGCUCCGGAAGGCCUGACGUCGAAAAUUGCGAUAAAAUCGCUGAAUUGGUCGAAAGAGAUCGGCAUAGUAGCAGCCGUAGCAUCGGUCAAGAGCUGGACAUGAGUCAUCAAAAAUUCAUUUCAAUUUCAAUAAAAAAAAAAAAUCAAUAAAAAUACCGCAAGACUUUUUUGACAACCCAUUAUUUAAGAUUUAUAAAUGUUGCGAGUCAAAAAGGCUAGCAUAAGAUCGAUAUAAAUGGCAUGAGUCUCACUGUGUAUCUUUUCAUUCCGCUGAGCUUAUGAUACAAUAUAUACAUACUUAUGUAUAUACAAAAAUAAUUGAAUGAAGAGAUAAACUAAAUUAUACUAUAUAAAAGAAAAUUAGAGGUUUAAAGCAUACUUAAAUACAAAAUUAAGUAUCACACAAUGGACAAUAAAAAUAUUUAAUAUUUAACGCAAAUAUAAAUAUGUACAAUAAACUUUUUUACUUCAAGUAAUGUUUUAUGUUUCUUCAAAACAGAUGUAAGAAUGUAAAUAUACAUAUAUAGCGUCAGGCUAAAAAAUGUGUUAUUUUUAUUGCCAUCAAAGUAAAUACAUUUUUAAGUGGCUCAAAGUGGUUGUGAAAUGGUAAAAAUUCUUAGCAAAAUAAAUCAACGAACUUAA